rnacentral:hammerhead_ribozyme from 1 species
AUCCAGCUCACGUGUCCCAAAUUGGACGAAACGAGUGUCGUGCAU